GACGAACGCUGGCGGCGUGCUUAACACAUGCAAGUGGAGCGACGAACCGGUCUUCGGACCGGGGCAGAGCCGCGAACGGGUGAGUAACACGUGGGUAACCCACCCCGAUGACCGGGACAACCCGAGGAAACUCGGGCUAAUACCGGAUGAGCUCUCAUCUUUUGAGAGAUGUGAGGAAAGAUAGCUUCGGCCUUCGCAUCGGGACGGGCCCGCGGCCCAUUAGCUUGUUGGUGGGGUAACGGCCUACCAAGGCGACGAUGGUAGCUGGUCUGAGAGGACGAUCAGCCACACUGGGACUGAGACACGGCCCAGACUCCGUACGGGAGGCGAGCAGUGGGGAAUCUUGCACAAUGCGCGAAAGCGUGAUGCAGCAACGCCGC
rnacentral:rRNA from 1 species